GAUGAACGCUGGCGGCGUGCCUAAUACAUGCAAGUCGAGCGAACGGACGAGAAGCUUGCUUCUCUGAUGUUAGCGGCGGACGGGUGAGUAACACGUGGAUAACCUACCUAUAAGACUGGGAUAACUUCGGGAAACCGGAGCUAAUACCGGAUAAUAUUUUGAACCGCAUGGUUCAAAAGUGAAAGACGGUCUUGCUGUCACUUAUAGAUGGAUCCGCGCUGCAUUAGCUAGUUGGUAAGGUAACGGCUUACCAAGGCAACGAUGCAUAGCCGACCUGAGAGGGUGGGAGGCAACACUAGAACUGCGACCGGGUGCGGAGUCCGCCGGACGGCGCCAGGAUGGGAUCUUCAUCAAUGGCCGAAAGCCUUACGGAGCAAUUCCGCGUGAGUAAUAAAUGUAUUCGGAUCUUAAAACUCUGUUAUUAUACAAGAACAUAUGUCCACGUAACUGUGCACACCUUCACCGGACCUAAUCAAAAAACCACCGCUAACUACAUC
rnacentral:rRNA from 1 species